UACGAAGGGUGCAAACGUUGCUCGGAAUCAUUGGGCGUAAAGCGCACGUAGGCGGCUUGCCAAGUCGGACGUGAAAUCCCUCAGCUCAACUGAGGACGUGCAUCCGAAACUGGGGGACUUGAGUACAGAAGAGAAGAGUGGAAUUCCACGUGUAGCGGUGAAAUGCGUAGAGAUGUGGAGGAACACCAGUGGCGAAGGCGACUCUUUGGUCUGUAACUGACGCUGAGGCGCGAAAGCGUGGGGAGCAAACAGG
rnacentral:rRNA from 1 species